GUCUCGGUGGUAUAGUGGUAGCACGAAUCCUCGGUAUGAAUGAAAAGCGGGUUCGACUCCCGUCUGAGGUC